ACCAUCGUCAUCAUUAACGUCAUCCACGGCAACUACAAAGUGUACGUCAGUGUCUUUCAUCACAAGUGUGUGUGUGUGUGUGUGUGGGGGUGCUGAGGGAAGGCGCUACCAUUAAAUGAGACUAUGUGUAGUCUGCACAUUACAAUAAAUUGAUCACUAAAUAUUGGAAGGGGAAGGAAGGCAAUAUAGACAUCACACACACACAAGCGCACACACACAAACACAAAGA